rnacentral:rRNA from 1 species
CCUACGGGAGGCUGCAGUGGGGAAUAUUGCACAAUGGGCGCAAGCCUGAUGCAGCCAUGCCGCGUGUGUGAAGAAGGCCUUCGGGUUGUAAAGCACUUUCAGCGGGGAGGAAGGCGUUAAGGUUAAUAACCUUGGCGAUUGACGUUACCCGCAGAAGAAGCACCGGCUAACUCCGUGCCAGCAGCCGCGGUAAUACGGAGGGUGCAAGCGUUAAUCGGAAUUACUGGGCGUAAAGCGCACGCAGGCGGUCUGUCAAGUCGGAUGUGAAAUCCCCGGGCUCAACCUGGGAACUGCAUUCGAAACUGGCAGGCUAGAGUCUGGUAGAGGGGGGUAGAAUUCCAGGUGUAGCGGUGAAAUGCGUAGAGAUCUGGAGGAAUACCGGUGGCGAAGGCGGCCCCCUGGACAAAGACUGACGCUCAGGUGCGAAAGCGUGGGGAGCAAACAGGAUUAGAUACCCGGGUAGUC